UCAAAUUACAAAUUCGUGAAUGAAAAAUCAUCAGCGAACUUCAAAAAACAGUGUAAAAAUGUCGUGCAGUUGUCAGUUGCGUAAGUCCUGCAGCGCUAUCAUUGCGGGAGAUUUCGAUUUUUAAAAAAUUCAUUAUUUUUUUGAGAAUAGCAGUCACACCUCGUUCGCUGGUCGGAAAUAGAAUAAAGUACAACUUUUAUGUUUCUCGAAAGCUCAACUGCUCUAAAGAAGAAUGGACAGGAGAUCAGUAAAAAGUUUUUAUGUCCCUUCGCUCGAGGGAAAAUGUUCCCGGAACGAAAAUUUUCGGGUUUUUGAGUCGAACUCUUUCUGGACUCGUGCCAAUUCCGUUGAGAUUAUAAGUUUUAUCAUCAUAAUAAAAAGAUAAAUAGAUCUGGAAAGGAAUGACCCACGUUAACCUGGUAAAAACAGAAAAAAAUCUAGCAGUUGGAAUUGAGGGCAUUUCUGAAAAUUGGGUUGACCAAAGAUUUGCUGAGAGUGCUAAAGCUCAAUGAACACAUUUUCCAAAUUUAGUCAUUCAUGCGGAGAGAUAUGUCGUUAUCACACAAAUGAGGCAUGAUUUUUCAAUACCGUAUAUAAAGAGGCUGACCACAUUGGUCGACACAGUCAGUCCGAUUGAACUCUCGAUACAUUCAACAUGUCAUCCCACUUUGUUGCAGCCCUUGUCAUUGCCCUCGUUUGCACACAUCUUUGUGGCGCGGACGUUGUCAAAGGGUGUGGAGAACAUUCGGAAAGGAAACUGUGUGGAAGAUGGUGCGAGCCCAGCUGCAGGCACCCCCAACAUCGUCUUUGUGGCGUCAAC